CUGGCUCAGGAUGAACGCUAGCGGCAGGCCUAACACAUGCAAGUCGAGGGGUAACAGGGGAGUGCUUGCACUCUUGCUGACGACCGGCGCACGGGUGCGUAACGCGUAUACAACCUACCUUUUGGCGGGGAAUAGCCCAGGGAAACUUGGAUUAAUGCCCCAUAGU
rnacentral:rRNA from 1 species